AUUGAACGCUGGCGGCAGGCCUAACACAUGCAAGUCGAGCGAGCGGCGGACGGGUGCGUAAUGUCUGGGAAACUGCCUGAUGGAGAGGGAUAACUACUGGAAACGGUAGCGAAUCACGCACUCCAUCAGCUGUGGCCAGGUGGGGUUAGCUAGUGGGUGGGGUAACGGCUCACCUAGGCGACGAUCCCUAGCUGGUCUGCGAGGAUGACCAGCCACACUGGAACUGAGACACGGCCCAGACUCCUACGGGAGGCAGCAGUGGGGAAUAUUGCACAAUGGGCGCAAGCCUGAUCCAGCCAUGCCGCGUGAGUGAAGAAGGCCUUCGGGUUGUAAAGCACUUUCAGCGGAGAGGCGUUACCCGCAGAAGAAGCACCGGCUAACUCCGUGCCAGCAGCCGCGGUAAUAC
rnacentral:rRNA from 1 species